ensembl:lncRNA
CCGCGCUCUCCGCUUGGAUUGAGGUGUGUUUUCCCCUGGUCGCCGGUAGGGGGCGCCGGAGUGCGCCAUCUUAUAGUUUUUUCCUCCCAGGGAACGAGGAGAAGGUGAAGAAGAAGCGCAUGCCGUCUCUAUAGUAACUUAGUUUGCACUGUAAACGCUGUUUAGCCAAGGAGCUAACGGGGUUGUUCAUGAUUAUCGGGCUACAUUUGGUCUGGCUAUUGCACAUUUAAGCAUGACUAAAUUACACUACAGAGUCCUGGUAAGAUAGAAACGUGAUCAUGUUUCAGUUUGUGAUGCUGGGAACCAGGAGGCGAGCAUAUAACUUCAUUCAGCUUCCUCCGGAGAAGUGAACCAUUAAAAACAUGUCUUCCCCAGAAUCAACGGUGGCGGUACUGCCCAUAUGGGGCAUGGCGCUGCCUCUUCCCGCCGUGCUGAUGAUCGCUGUCGGCAUUUACGUCUUCGUCCUCGCGAUGGCGCUCUGGUUCCGCCAUUGUCUCAAGGACCGCUGUACAGGCAUGUGGAACGACUGCUGUCCGGACCUCUCCCCCUGUGAGCACUGCUUGGUGUGGGCGGAAUCCUGCGACUGUCGCCCGCCGUCUGUCCGCUCGUGCCUGGACAAUACCUGCCCUCCCCCCACCUGUGCCAAGUGGGACUGCACCUGCACAUGCCAGCCGCCCGAGUGCGAAUCCUGCAACUGCCUCUGCUUCGAGAUCAAGCUCCGCUAGCGUCAAACACCUAAAGGGUCCCCUCUGUGCCGAUGGACACGUGGUACUGAUGAUGGAGGGUGUCCGAGCGCACAGCGGUUGAAUGCGUUGUGAUACACGGCACCAGGCUUUUGUCGGGACCACAGGGUCUGGUCUGUAUCUAGACGUUCCACUCUUUCCAGCUCGGUUGGUGCAUUUGUUUGAAAAGAACAGACUCUCAGACACCACCGGACUGACUUUCACACAGACAGUGUUGUGUUUUGACGCAACAAAGGCACAUGUAAAUAUAUUGCGUCAUAUGUUCACGUGAAUGUCUGUAUCCUUCUUUCAUACCACUGUGUGCGAGUGAUCUGCAUUUGUACUCUACACCUGUGCUGCCUUCCCUCGAUUACAACUUUUGUUACUGUGUCAAAUAUAAUCUUAAUAUUCGAUAUGAUGUUCUUUUAUCCCAGGUGGGAAAUUACAAUAACAUAUACUUGUUUACAACACCGUUUGGUAUUUUACUUUUUUUAUUAGAAAAUGAACUCUACAUGAUUUGAGUUCCUUAUUGCCUUCGCGCUAUUUGCUAUUCUUUUUUUUUUAAAUCUUUGAUGUUCUUCAUAUCCAUUAGGUACAUAAUGCUUAUUUUAUAUUGAUUUUAGUACAGUUAUAAAGUCACUUUUUAAUGUACUAUAUAUGUUCUACUCUUAAGUAGAACAAUAUAUUGUUUUCUCUCAUUCCUUGUGUGAGUUUUGGACAUUUGUAGUGCUUCCUAAUGCUCUAUUGCCAACACAACGUUUCCAAAACAAAGGAGGGAGAGAGGGAGAGACAGAGAGAGACGGAGAGAGAGACAGAGAGAGAGAAAAAAUAUUGAUCAGAGGGUAGGCUUAGCGUUUGAAGGUGGGUAAUGCUUGACCAGUCGUAUGUGUUGUGUGACCCCGAGGGCUAAGUGGGAGAAAGAGAGAGAGAGAGCGAGAGAAGGCCAUGAUAGCCAGCUUGUAAUGUUGACAAAGGUCUGCCUGACAAAGAAAACCGGUCCCCCGAGAUAGCAGUAUAGUCUUUCACCUAUCUUAAUAUUCUAUUGUAGCAAUCUUCAUGAAUACUGUCUGUGCAAUGGAGCAAUCGCCAACGUUGCUGCAAGAGGAAACAUAGAACCGUAACACUGCUGUGUGGUGAUUUGAGCGUGUUUGAAAUGUUGCAAGAUAUAUAAAGGCCUCUGGUGACACAUUCAUCCAUUCAGCAUUCUGCUUAUCACACAGGCUUGCCUGCCUGCGUGUCUAGGUUAUAGUGACUAGGAAAGCCAAGCUGUGUGGCCGUUCCUUCUAAUGUCCCAGCAGGACUUAUCCCCUGGUGGGAGACAGCCGACCACGUCAGGAGGCAGCAUCAGUAGUCCCAUAAGGGGACCGCAGUGGAAACGUGUUACGUAACGCUGGCUGCCUCAAGGUCGAAAGCUACUGCGACGGAUAUCUGAUUCAGCCGGAAUGUGUCAGAUAGGCCCGCUAUUGUAUGGGCCUAUUACGAUGCACAAAUCUCUUUG